ensembl:lncRNA
CGCGGGCGCAGAGGGAUCCUGGAGGCUCGCGUCCCAUCCUGCUUUGCGGCCGGGGCGCGCGACUAAGAGCGUUCUUCCAGCGCGCCGGGCAGGACCAAGGCGGAGCGCGGCGCCAGAGGACCGCGCCCCGAGGUUAGGUAGGCGGCUCCUGGCGAAGUCUACUAAGUGUUGAGGAAGAGUCGAGUCACGUGUGAAUGGGACCAGCGAGAUAGCACAGGCUGAGGGAGUGACACAGUGGCAGCUUGGUUCGUUCCUGCAGCAGAUUUGCAUUUCAGCAGCUUCCUGUGCUGUGUCAUUUGUGGGCUGAGGCUCCUGCGAAGAUCAGUGUCUCCUCAUAGGAGCCCAAGUGAGGAAACAACUGGUUAUCAAGGCAUUUGCACAGGCCUCCUCCUCGGCCUGCUACGACUUCAGCAGUCUUUGGGCAGUGGGGACCUGGACCGACAAGGCCACCCACCUCAGGCCACUCUGGCUUUGGCUGGAGUGAGCCGGACUGGACUCAUUCCUGGUCUCCUGGGGUCAUUGCUGCUCCUGCCUGAGACCCUGUCCCUUGACCCGCGACUAUGCUUUUAUGCAGGCCCUGGGGAAGGCGUCUGGAAAGCCAGCCUCACAGCUCAGAGAUGUCCACGCACAGCCUGCUAGUCAGACCAGCUUGCCUAGUUACCCACCAGAGCCUCCAGCUCUCUACUUCAGUGACGCCUUCCAGGUAACAGACAGACUGCUCCCGGCUAUGGAACUGCUCCCAGCAGACCGGUCCUGCUGCGGACUCGAGGCACCUGCUCAAAGGACUGGAGCGCCGCCCUGGGGCCCGCAACGCAGAGGGGAGCUUGCAGAGCUGAGUCUGCCUCCUCUACCAGCACUCUUGGGGGCUGGGCAGGGGCAGCUGCCCAGAGGCAGAGAACCCAGCAGAGCCGCAGGCAUCUUUCAGGGAUGAGACAGACGAGGUCCCUGCUCCUGUGCAGCUUAUGUUCUGUUAAUAGUGCGGAGGCUGGCCUUCAGUGAGUGUAAGCAGGUAAGAGCAAACACACUGAAAAAAAAGCAGUGAUAAGGGUCAUGGAAAAGGUGACAGUGGGGCCAUGCUGGUGGAGGGUCAGGUCGGGGAGGGUGGCCUCCCUGGGGCGGGGCCGUGAGUAGAACCUGGGCAGCCCUGGGGGCAGAGUGGGGCCCUGAGCUCGCAUCACCUAGCCCCAGUAGGCGCCUGCUUUCCCCUAAAGGACAGGAGGAACCCAUGACAGAGUCUAAGGGGAAUAGGGUGAUCUGAUGACAAGACGUGUGGGUGCUGUGUGGAGACUGGACUGUGGGGAGAGUUUCUGGGAGCGGGGAGACCAGUGGGCGCGUUUGCUUGUGUUCAGGGAAGGGCAGGCACGGGCGCUGCAGAACCAGAGCGGGUGGAGCCGAGGGAAGGCAGGGACUCAGGUGAGCCUGAGGCGUCUGGGCAGGCGAGGGCCAUCGUGGGAGGGGGCACCCCCAUUGUGUGUGUUAGAGGGUCCCAGACUCUCAGAGUACCCCUAGUUAAGGUCAGUAAAUAUUUUAAGGGACCCACAGGCCAAAGAAGUAACAUUUUUAAAUAGUUAAGUCCAUACAGUUUAAGUAUAGUAUUUAUAUCCUAACAACUUAUAAUAGACAUUUGGAAAAUAAUGUAAACGUAAUUUUUUUUCAUUGCAUUUUUAAGUAACCGUAAUUACUUAGGAGUGGAACGUUUGCCUGUCAGGCUCUUCUUGAAUUUUGGAAUCAGACUGGACAUGCUUACCCUUGUUGCCUUUUCCAUAUUGACUUACGCAGUAAUUGCCUUUACUGUAACUGCCAGAAACCUAGCUUUGCAGACAUGAAACCACACAAAGCAACGUAGCAAGAUGUCAUGUUGAAGCGCCGGAGUGUUGAGAUGUCUAGUAUCACUGUUUCCCCAAAAGUAAAACGCAUCCUGUUGUGCCUGCAGGUCGCUGCGGGCGCCUCCGUGCCCUGUUGCCUUGUGCGCUUCUUGUCCCUGGGCCUGAGGACCUUCGUCUCCUGGGCCACAUGCUGGUGUGCAGGUCACGCCCCUCCACCCCCAAGUUCUUGGGGGCACUCACUGGGUCUUUUUUUUGGCUGCAUGUCUUAGUUAGCAUGCAGGAUCUUUUCGUUUCGGCACGUGGGAUCUUGUUUAGGGAUCCAACCGGGACCUCUACGUGGGGAGCGUGGAGUCUUAGCCACUACACCACCAGGGAAGUGGUGGUUUAGGAUAGGAUGAAGCUUUAAGAUGUGAGAUGAUCUUUUUGUUCUAUCUGUUGAUCCUUAAGACAAAGUUAAGAGGAAAACAGUGAUGGAUUUAUCCCCGUUUUAUUUAGAGUUGAAGAUAUUGAGGUUCAGAGUAGUCAAAGGUGCAGUGGGUGAGACUGGACUGGGCCCCACACCCCUGACUCUUGGCUGGGCUCUUCCCGGGCUGAGCUGCCUGCCUCUCUUGUGGGCCUAACUUAGGGCCGCUGGUGUGGCAGCAGAGUUGGGCACUUGGUGCAAGUGAGGCCAUAGUCGGGACCUUUUCUCUGGCAGGUUGGUGAGGGAGGGCAGCUCCUUGGCACGUACGGGGCAGUAUUUGGUUGAUGGGGUGCCUGUGUCCCUGAAAACUGGGCGGGGGGUCCAGGUACCCUCUGUGUGAGCCACGGCUGUGCCACCUACUGGUUUAUUCCCGUGCUCCCCUCAAAGAUGUGCACCUGUGUGUCCACGGAAGAAAUCCAUGGAAGGCAGGCACCUAUUCUGGAUGCACUGAUGGACUUGGUUAGUGGUUAGAAUCUUGAUUUUGAUCCUCUUGCAGUCUUAAACUGUUUAAAAAAAUUUUAAACAGGAGAGUCAGCAGUCCAACCUUAGCAAAAGGCUGCAGGGGGCGGGUCCUGGCAGCCUGAGGGCAAGGCCAUGUGACCCUGCGUUGUAGAUGCCGUUUCAAGCUGACUAGCACUCCUGCUGACUGCCAGAGCUGUCCAUCAGCAUGUUCUCAUUACUUCAGGGGGUUCUGGUCUUGGUUUACUUUGAGUUGUUUUUUAAUCCCCCGUGUCCUCCUUCAUGACACUUCUGUGAUUUUGACCUUGGUCCUUGAAGACUGCUCUUCUCAGACUACUCCUGCUCCCUGAACCCCAGUCCCCUGUGGCCCUGCACACACAAACCCCACACGCCCGCCACAGCAAGGCCUUUCCAUUCCAGGGAGGGACCCAGCCUUCCUACUUGCAGGGCUGUUGUUGGAGACCACAGCCUCUCCCUAACGGGGCAGAGCCCCCAUUGAUGGGGUGAUGGGCUAAAUAAUGCCACCCUGCCUCUGAUACAUCCAUGUCCUAAUCCCUGGAAACAUCACACAGCCAAAAAGGAUCUCAUAAUACGGAGAUGGUCCCAGAUUAUUUGGGAGGACCCUACACUCACUCACCUACUUCUCUGAGGAGGAAGAACCGACACAGAAGGCAGUGAACUGAUGCAGCCGCAGCCAAGGACACCAGGAGCCUCCAGAAGCUGAAGAGGGCGAAAGGGCCUCCCAGAACCUCCGGAGGGUGUGCAGCCUGUGACACUUGAUUUCAGCUCAGUGCAGUGAUUUGGAUCUCUGACCUCUGAAAUUAUUAGACAAUAAGUUUCUAUAGUUUUAAGCCAUCAAGUUUGUGGUGACUUGUUGCAGUAGCCACAGGAAGUGAAUACAAAUGGGAAGGAAAGCAAAGGAUUCCAAGAAGAAAUGACUGGACCCAAGGCCUGACCCUGAUCUGCUGCCUUUCCGUGUUCUUGUGACCUGCUCCUGUCACCUGCACCUGGACACACAGGCUCUCCAUUGCUAGCAGUUAAGAUGGGCUCUGCAGCCCCUGCCCCUUCCUGGUGCCCACCACCCUGAAGCCCCCACAGGGAAAGGUCGAGAAGUGGGGCUGGAGUUGGGGAGAGAGGGGUUUCUGGAACAGAGCCACCGCCAUGGGCUCCAUUCGCAACAGGCACAGUUGAGCUUUGUGCUGGCGCCAAGGUCACCUCAGAUCCUGCAGCCGGAAUGUUGCUGGGGCCCUGCCCUCCAGGGCACCUGCUCCCCAUCCCUGGGAGAGCAACAUGUGCAAAAGCCAAAGAGCCUUUGGCUGUAUUGAAUGACUUUAAAAUCAAGUGCAAAUAUCAUCAGGUGCUUUUUAUAGAAGCAAGGACCUGUGCCUCUCAAAAUAAACACAUGCCAGUCACCCA